AUGAAACUAUAAAUAUACCCUACGCAAUUUAAAACAUAGAAACACACCCAAAAUAAACCCAAAAAUCAACAAUUGUAUAUUUUUUAAUUUAAUUAAUAAGAUGAAAUAUCUUUAUUACCCUUUUUAGCAUUAAGUUAGUUUUGGAUCUCGUUUGAAGCCUCCCUCAGGUUUGAAGCAUCAAGCCCUCCCUCAGUUUUGAAGCCUUAAGCCCCUCUCCUGCUUCAAACCACCAUCUCUCCUCUGUUAUCUCCCUUCUUCCCUCUCUUUGCCUUCAAAGUAAACCAAACAGUCUCAAAGCCAUGGACCAACACAAGACCGACGACAAUCUCCGUUACGUAGGUGGCCUCACACGUGUUCUCGCCGCCGAUGCCUCCAUUUCCUUUGCAGAUCUGUCUUGUGUUCCUGAUUUUCAACCUGG